UGGGUUGUUUUUUCAACCCAAAUGCUGGGUUGAUGCCGCUGGGCAGGACUUUGGGAUGUUUUAACCCAAGUUUGGGUUGAAAAUCGGUCUCCGUUUUAACCCAGCGGGGCUGGGUUGAGAACGCGGACGUGAAGGAGAGCAUGCAGGUCACGUUAAGCUCGUACGUCUCCAGUGCGAGCAGCCGCCAUUUUCUCAGCGUGAAAGAAGCGAGAAGCGAGUGAACGACUAUGACUUGUCGAGCUCGUGUCUUCAUUGUCCUCGCGCUGAGAGUUAAAGACACAGAAGCUGUUUGUGUGAGAGUGACUGACUGUCUGAGGAGGAGGAGGUGUUCUUCUGAAGAGAGGGACAGACGGGGUUAAGGAGAGUAAACAUCAGAAUAACACCGUUAUCUUUAUUUUUACUAAGACUAAAAUAAUGUUUGUUUUUGUAGAUGUUGAAAUCCAGAGACAAGAUAACUUCAUUCUUUUGAGACUGAUAACUCAAACCAACUUUGG